AGAGUUUGAUCCUGGCUCAGGAUGAACGCUGGCGGCGUGCCUAACACAUGCAAGUCGAACGAAGAGGCCCCUUCGGGGGUACUUCAGUGGCGGACGGGUGAGUAACACGUAGGUGACCUGCCCCGAAGUGUGGAAUAACAGUCCGAAAGGAUUGCUAAUACCGCAUGUGGUCUGUGAGGUUAGAGUCUUGCAGACUAAAGCAGUAAUGCGCUUCGGGAGGGGCCUGCGCCCCAUCAGCUAGUUGGUAGGGUAAUGGCCUACCAAGGCAACAACGGGUAGGGGGCCUGAGAGGGUGACCCCCCACAUUGGCACUGACACACGGGCCAAACUCCUACGGGAGGCAGCAGUGAGGAAUAUUGCUCAAUGGGCGAAAGCCUGAAGCAGCAACGCCGCGUGCGCGAUGAAGGCCUUCGGGUCGUAAAGCGCUUUUGAGAGGGACGAGAUAGGACGGUACCUCUGGAAUAAGUCACGGCUAACUACGUGCCAGCAGCCGCGGUAAAACGUAGGUGGCAAGCGUUAUCCGGAUUCACUGGGCGUAAAGCGCGUGCAGGUGGCUUCGUAAGUUGGACGUUAAAUCUCCCGGCCUAACCGGGAGGGGUCGUUCAAUACUGCGGGGCUGGAGGGCAGAAGAGGGGGGUGGAAUUGCUGGUGUAGUGGUGAAAUGCGUAGAUAUCAGCAGGAACACCCGUGGCGAAAGCGGCCCCCUGGUCUGCUCCUGACACUCAGACGCGAAAGCUAGGGGAGUGAACGGGAUUAGAAACCCCGGUAAUCCUAGCCGUAAACGAUGGAUGCUAGGUGUGGGUGGUAUUGACCCCAUCCGUGCCGAAGCCAACGCGUUAAGCAUUCCGCCUGGGGACUACGGCCGCAAGGUUAAAACUCAAAGGAAUUGACGG
rnacentral:rRNA from 1 species